AUUGAACGCUGGCGGCAUGCCUUACACAUGCAAGUCGAACGGUAACAGGUCUUCGGAUUCUGACGAGUGGCGAACGGGUGCGUAAUACAUCGGAACGUGCCCAGACGUGGGGGAUAACGAGGCGAAAGCUUUGCUAAUACCGCAUACGAUCUAAGACUGCCAGCAGGGGACCGCAAGGCCUCUUCCGAUUGUGGCGGCCGAGGGGAGAUUAGGUCGUUGGGGGGAUAAAAGCUUACCAAGCCGACGUUCUGUAGCUGGUCUUAGAGGACGACCAGCCACACGGAGACUGAGACACGGCCCAGACUCUUACGGGAGGCAGAAGGGGGAAAUUUUGGACAAUGGGCGAAAGCUUGAUCAAGCAAUGCGGCGUGGAGGAUGAAGGCCUUCGGGUUGUAAACUGCUUUUGUACGGAAGAAAAAGGCUCUGGCUAAUACCUGGGGCACAGGACGUAACCGUAAGAAUAAGCACCGGUAAAUUACGU
rnacentral:rRNA from 1 species